rnacentral:rRNA from 1 species
GUCCACGCCGUAAACGAUGCACAUUAGACCGGUGCGGUUUUGACGCCGUAUCGGUCGUAGGAAAACUGAUAAAUGUGCCGCCUGGGGAGUACGGUCGCAAGGCUAAAACUCAAAUGAAUUGACGGGGGCUCACACAAGCGGUGGAGCAUGUUGCUUAAUUCGAGGCAACGCGAAGAACCUUACCUGGGUUUGACAUGCUUGGAUUAACCUCUUGAAAAAGAGGCCACACCCUCUGGGUGGAACAAGCACAGGUGCUGCAUGGCUGUCGU